UACCAGCUCUCCGAGUGGUGUGGAUGUUUAUUGGGCCUAAAGCAUCCGUAGCUGGCUGGGCAAGUCCCCUGUUAAAUCCACCGAUUUAAUCGUUGGUGUGCGGGGGAUACUGUUCGGCUAGGGGACGGGAGAGGCCGACGGUAUUUUCGGGGUAGGGGUGAAAUCCUAUAAUCCCGGGAAGACCACCAGUGGCGAAGGCUGUCGGCUAGAACGCGCCCGACGGUGAGGGAUGAAAGCUGGGGGAGCGAACCGGAUUAGAUACCCGGGUAGUCCCAGCUGUAAACGAUGCAGGCUAGGUGUUUGGGCGGCUACGUGCCGCUCUAGUGCCGCAGGGAAGCCGUUAAGCCUGCCGCCUGGGGAGUACGGCCGCAAGGCUGAAACUUAAGGAAUUGGCGGGGGAGCACCACAAGGGGUGAAGCUUGCGGUUU
rnacentral:rRNA from 1 species